rnacentral:rRNA from 1 species
CACGUAGGCGGACUUUCAAGUCAGGGGUGAAAUCCCGGAGCUCAACUUCGGAAUUGCCUUUGAUACUGUUGGUCUCGAGUCCGGAAGAGGUGGGUGGAAUUCCUAGUGUAGAGGUGAAAUUCGUAGAUAUUAGGAAGAACACCGGUGGCGAAGGCGGCCCACUGGUCCGGUACUGACGCUGAGGUGCGAAAGCGUGGGGAGCAACA